GAUGAAGAACGCAGCGAAAUGCGAUAAGUAAUGUGAAUUGCAGAAUUCAGUGAAUCAUCGAAUCUUUGAACGCACAUUGCGCCCCUUGGUAUUCCGGGGGGCAUGCCUGUUCGAGCGUCAUUUCAACCCUCAAGCUCUGCUUGGAAUUGGGCUCCGUCCUCAGGGACGCGCCUCAAAGACCUCGGCGGUGGCGUCUUGCCUCAAGCGUAGUAGAAAACACCUCGCUUUGGAGUGCUGGGCGUCGCCCGCCGGACGAACCUUUGAAUUUUUCUCAAGGUUGACCUCGGAUCAGGUAGGGAUACCCGCUGAACUUAAGCAUAUCAAUAAGCGGAGGA
rnacentral:misc_RNA from 1 species